rnacentral:rRNA from 1 species
GAUGAACGCUGGCGGCGUGCCUAACACAUGCAAGUCGAGCGAUCUUCUUCGGAAGAGAGCGGCGGACGGGUGAGUAACGCGUGGGUAACCUGCCCUGUACACACGGAUAACAUACCGAAAGGUAUGCUAAUACGAGAUAAUAUGCUUUUGUCGCAUGGUAGAAGUAUCAAAGCUCCGGCGGUACAGGAUGGACCCGCGUCUGAUUAGCUAGUUGGUAAGGUAACGGCUUACCAAGGCGACGAUCAGUAGCCGACCUGAGAGGGUGAUCGGCCACAUUGGAACUGAGACACGGUCCAAACUCCUACGGGAGGCAGCAGUGGGGAAUAUUGCACAAUGGGCGAAAGCCUGAUGCAGCAACGCCGCGUGAGCGAUGAAGGCCUUCGGUCGUAAAGCUCUGUCCUCAAGGAAGAUAAUGACGGUACUUGAGGAGGAAGCCCCGGCUAACUACGUGCCAGCAGCCGCGGUAA